AAACAAUUGUCUUUUCAAAACAUGUCAAAACAUUGCUAUUGGACUUUGAAGUUAAGAGAUUUUGUAAUUCCUGGGAGUUUGAUACUGAUGCUUUGUCAGCCAUUUCUGAAGCUUUUUUGUUUGAUUUGGGAUGGUCUUCUGUGCUUUUUGCAUCUUGAGUGUUUGUUUAUGUCAUUGUUGGACCUUUUUGUUGGUUACCUGUAUUAAACGUGGUACUUUUGCAUUAGCUAGCAGAAUCUUAAGACGAAAGUGGAAAGUGAGUGUGGGUUUUUGAGAUUGUACCUUUUGUCGAUCUUUAUGGAUGAAAUUUUCUUCCUUUUUUCCUGGGUUGUCCUUGUACUCAGUUGCUUUUUUAUGAUUUUGUAGUGUCGAUUUUGAAGACUUUUGGCUAUGGCAGAACGUAACUUCGAUUCGCCGGCUUUCUUAUUAUGGAGUUUGUCAUUGAUUGGUGGUUAUGGAGUUUGUCUCAUGGCUGGUGGUUACGGAGGUUGUCGCCUGCUUUUGGAGUUGGUGUCACAAAGAUCGGAGUGAGAGGUGAGUUGAUUUUUGGCUUUUUGGGUGCGUGUAUUGUUGUUCUCUGGGCUUAGAUUUUUUUUAUUUUUUUUUCAAUGGGCUUAGUGAAAUUGGGCUAUAUUGGCUUGUUGAAUUUUCUGGGCUUCUUUUUCUUAUAUUUGGACUUCUUCUUUUUUGGUCAAAUUAGACUAGGGCUUUUUUCUGUAUUUUGUGAUGGCUUGUUUAAUUUGUUUUGGGCUUUAUUUCGUUUAUGACUUUGAUUUUCUCAACUUGGGUUGGGCUUUUUGAGAGUCAUUGUUAAUAUGCAUUUUGAAACCCGCUGUUAAUGUGUUUGAAAUUUAGAAGAAGCUACACAGUAACAAUUUUUUACAUUUGAAUCUCACUACACAGUAACUAUUUGACAUUUGAAAGUUAAGAAGCUGCAAAAGAUUUUGUUUAGAAACUACAUAUUAACAAUUUGACAUUUGGAAGUUAGAAAGCCAGACAUUUACUGUUUUAUAGUUCUAAAAUUUGGGAAAUCCAUGCUUUCAUCCUUCAUUCCCUUUUGUGAAAUACCAACUUUUUUCACUUUCCAUUGUCUUCAAUAAAACUUUUCUUCUCAUUUCCC
rnacentral:lncRNA from 1 species